rnacentral:rRNA from 1 species
GACGAACGCUGGCGGCGUGCUUAACACAUGCAAGUCGAACGGAAAGGCCCUGCUUUUGUGGGGUGCUCGAGUGGCGAACGGGUGAGUAACACGUGAGUAACCUGCCCUUGACUUUGGGAUAACUUCAGGAAACUGGGGCUAAUACCGGAUAGGAGCUCCUGCUGCAUGGUGGGGGUUGGAAAGUUUCGGCGGUUGGGGAUGGACUCGCGGCUUAUCAGCUUGUUGGUGGGGUAGUGGCUUACCAAGGCUUUGACGGGUAGCCGGCCUGAGAGGGUGACCGGCCACAUUGGGACUGAGAGACGGCCCAGACUCCUACGGGAGGCAGCAGUGGGGAAUAUUGCACAAUGGGCGGAAGCCUGAUGCAGCAACGCCGCGUGCGGGAGGACGGCCUUCGGGUUGUAAACCGCUUUCGCCUGUGACGAAGCGUGAGUGACGGUAAUGGGGAAAGAAGCACCGGCUAACUACGU